CAGCCGCGGCCCCAGGGGGCAGCGCAUACUCCCAGGCUGCGCUCCGGGCGUCACCCCGCGGCCGCCGACAACUGAAUAAACACACCGAAGCACUGCGAUCUGUCAAGGGCUGGGGCCGCAG
ensembl:misc_RNA